AAAAGCAGUCAAAAAAUAUGUGUCAUUCAAAUAAUAAUUGUAAAGGAAAUAGUUAAUUUCGUAAUGACUUCUUCAUUUAAAAAUGGACUGUGGAUUUGGGAUGAAAUUUAUAAUGGCCUAGCGUUUCAGCCGAAAGACGUUGUUCAACGAAUUCCCUCCAGGCUUAGCAGAAUUUCAACAGGAACAAUUUCAGUUACUGGUCGAAAAAAUAUGGAGGGUGAAAUAAGAGUAAUGGAUACAGUAGAUACUUAUACACAAGCAAAAUUUAAAAAACACUAUCAGCGAAAAGUCAAAUUGGUCGAUGUUGAAGUUGCUACCAUCCAGGAUGUAAAAGAUGUUGCCAUUUUUACCAGCAAAUUAGACGAUUUAUUUCCAGAGUUUAUAACUUAUUUUCAUACCGUGUGCGUGGAUCGAUUCUUAAGGUCUAUGAUAGUAUAUUUUCAGUAUUACCU